rnacentral:lncRNA from 1 species
AUUUGGGGGAGGGUCGAGGGUCAGACUGGAGCACUGGGUCACAACCCACCUCAAACAUGGCCUGCAGAGCCCAGAAGACCCCAAGCCAGGUAACAGAGAACAUGAGGCGGCAGCAGCGCCUUGUCAAGCAGCCGCCCUGGAGUUGCCAGGGGCCCUCGCCUCGGGUGGCUUGCGGGGCUAAUGCUGACCCAAUGUGAGCCACACACAGGCUCACGUCUGCUGCAUUUGUGCCUUGCAACGUCCCGGCGUGACCAGCAGAGCCAUCGCUCUCUUUUUAAUAAACAGAGAGUUGGUGAGGUUGUGAACUCUGUCCAAGACCACAGAACCACCAUAAAACAAAGUCCAGGUUUCACAACUCCAAGGCCUGGCCAGCUAAAAACCCAUUCUGCUCGCCACCCAUCCAUCAAGAAACCCGUCAGCCUCAAAGUACACACUCCAGCACUCACCUGCUUCGCCAAGGCCAGGUGGGCCUGCCCUGUCACUGCUAGCCAUGGGUAGACAUUUACAUUUAAAGUGACAAGAAUUAAAUACAAUUUAAAAUUCAGCUCCUUAGCUGCACCAGCUGCAUUUCCAGAGCUCGACAGUCACGUGUGACUCGUGGCCACCUUACUGGACAGUGCGGAUCUAGAAUGUUCUGCCAUUGCAGGAAGUUUGGACAACUGCAAUAGCCUCUGCCCAGCCCCCCACCGGAGGAGGCUUUAACACAUGUAAUGAGGGGUCUGCCGGGCUGCCCACGUCCCUCAGGCCCCUGCUCCAAAGUCACCCGCUGGGGAGGACGUCCCUGACCUCCACAUCUGAGACAGAAGCCCCUCCCCACACUCUAUCCUUUCACAGCUUUGUCUUCAGUGCACGUGAUGUGGGAUAUGUCCUUCUAUCACGCAUCUCACCCCGUGCAAUGCAGGCUCCAUGAUGGCAGGAAAGGGCUCCGUCCUCAGCCCCAGGGCUGGGCACACAGCAGGUGUGCCCAGGAAUUAAUCAUUUCCAGACGCUGGCGCAGCACCUGGUGCCCAAAGCCAUAGGCCUGGGAGCUGUGCAGGUCUUGCAGGCAGACGACACCACUUAGUGGACGCGAUUUCUUCCCUGGUCCCACUGCCUGGUGCGUGCAGAGAAACUACUCCCAAGUGGGAAGUGAGUGGCUUGUUGAGGCUUGGGACAAAGCUCAGGGGUGUCCCAGGUGAACCCCCUUCUCUAAAACAAGCAGGUCCCUCCCUGCUCCGACACUGAAAUGACAUCACAGGGCACUGAGGACGUGGGGCCCGUCCCCGGCUGCUGCAGUGCAGUGCCACCUGCAGGCCGUGUGGCCUGAGCAGGCUGUGUCAUCUCCAGGCCUGCAGUCUCUCGUCUGUAGGAAGAGGAUGAUCAGUAGCCCAGCCUUGGAGGAGCCAUGCUCACCCCGAACGCUUCCACCAGCUGAGGCUGCAUGGUUUCAACAAGAGGAAUUUGUUUCUCAUAGUUCUGGAGGCUGGAAUUCCAAGAUCAAGGUAUGGCUGACUUGGCUUCUGAUGAGGGCCCUUCCUGACUUGCAGGUGGCUUCCCACAGUGUCCUCACAAGGUGAGAGAAGGAGCUCCAGCCUCUUCCUCUCCUUGUAAGGACACCAAUCCCAUCAUGGGGUCCCAGCUUCAUGGCCUCAUCUAAACUCAAUCACCCUCCAAAGUCCCCCCCUCCAAAUACCAUCACGCUGGGUGUUAGGACUUCAAUAUACAAAUUUGAGAGGGAGACAAUUCUGUCCAUAGCAGGCCCCUGGGGUCCCCAGCCAGAGUAACCCCACAGAAGCUACCAGUAAAUCUCCAAAGCCAUCACCAUAGCCCACCGAACAUUUCACCUCUGCCUGCGUUCUGAGAGUGGGACUUGUUCAUUGUUCUGUUUUAAUUCUCAGCAGGGCCUAUGACCAUGUCUGAUGUUCAGGGAAUGAAGGAGUGAAGAAAGCAGGAAUGAACGAAGGAAGGAAGCAGCUCCAGCAAUUGGUUCCCAGGCAAGAAGCUGGUGGGGUUCUGACUUCUAUCCCGAUUCACACCCUUUCCUCCUGCCCUCAGGGCAGUCCUUCUCCUGCUCUUGUUCAUUCAUCCCCUUCAGCCCUUUCUUAUUCUCUUCUGUAGCCGAACCACAAAAAAUAAAUACAUUAGAAAUGUU